rnacentral:antisense_RNA from 1 species
CUUCAGCGAGCCGAGCCACAGCGGUUGAUCCCCGUUGCGCUCCUGGCCGUACGUGGAAAGCAGCGCCCCGGCCUC